GGGGAUGUAGCUCAGUGGUAAAGCACUUGCCUAGCAUGCAUGCAGCCCUGAGUUUGAUCCUCAGCACCCCCA
rnacentral:tRNA from 1 species